GAUGAACGCUGGCGGUGUGCCUAAUACAUGCAAGUCGAGCGAACAGACGAGGAGCUUACUCCUCUGACGUUAGCGGCGGACGGGUGAGUAACACGUGGAUAACCUACCUAUAAGACUGGGAUAACUUCGGGAAACCGGAGCUAAUACCGGAUAACAUGUUGAACCGCAUGGUUCAACAGUGAAAGACGGUCUUGCUGUCACUUAUAGAUGGAUCCGCGUCGCAUUAGCUAGUUGGUAAGGUAACGGCUUACCAAGGCAACGAUGCGUAGCCGACCUGAGAGGGUGAUCGCCCACACGGGAACUGAGAAACGGUCCAGACUCCUACGGGAGGCAGCGGUAGGGAAUCUUCCGCAAUGGGGGAAAGCCUGACGGAGCAACGCCGCGUGAGUGAAGAAGGUCUUCGGAUCGUAAAACUCUGUUAUUAGGGAAGAACAAAUGUGUAAGUAACUAUGCACGUCUUGACGGUACCUAAUCAGAAAGCCACGGCUAACUACGUG
rnacentral:rRNA from 1 species